rnacentral:rRNA from 1 species
CAAAAACAUAGCCAUAAGACAGAUUUAUGGUAAUUUCUGCUCAAUGAUGUUUAAAUAGCCGCAGUACCUUGACUGUGCAAAGGUAGCGCAAUCAAUUGGCUUUUAAUUGGAGUCUUGUAUGAAGGAAUAUAUAAGAGGAUAUCUGUAUCUAUUAUAGAUUUGAAAUUACUAAAUAAGUGCAAAAACUUAUAUUAUCUAAUAGACGAGAAGACCCCUGAAAUUUUAAGGAUGUUAUCAAGUACUUUUUGUUGGGGCAACAUAGUAACAGUUAAUUUACUUCGUGACAUGCAAGAUUUUUCUUGUAAGAAUAAAUUACUCAAGGGAUAACAGCAUAAUUUAAUAUAGUUUGUGACCUCGAUGUUGGACUAGGGAACUUUAGUUUAGAAGACUUUAAGGCAUGCUCUGUCGAGCA